rnacentral:rRNA from 1 species
GGAUGAACGCUAGCGACAGGCUUAACACAUGCAAGUCGAGGGGCAGCGGGGAGUGAGGCUUGCCUUACUCUGCCGGCGACCGGCGCACGGGUGAGUAACACGUAUGCAACCUACCCUUUACAGCGGGAUAACCGGAAGAAAUUUCGCCUAAUACCGCAUAUACUCCUUGGGAGGCAUCUUCCGAGGGGGAAAGAAUUUCGGUGAAGGAUGGGCAUGCGUCGCAUUAGUUAGUUGGCGGUGUAACGGACCACCAAGACGACGAUGCGUAGGGGUUCUGAGAGGAAGGUCCCCCACACUGGUACUGAGACACGGACCAGACUCCUACGGGAGGCAGCAGUGAGGAAUAUUGGUCAAUGGCCGAGAGGCUGAACCAGCCAAGUCGCGUGAGGGAAGAAUGUCCUAUGGAUUGUAAACCUCUUUUGUCAGGGAGCAAAGUCACCCACGUGUGGGUGUUGGAGAGUACCUGAAGAAAAAGCAUCGGCUAACUCCGUGCCAGCAGCCGCGGUAAUACGGAGGAUGCGAGCGUUAUCCGGAUUUAUUGGGUUUAAAGGGUGCGUAGGCGGGUUAUCAAGUCAGCGGUAAAAUCGUGGAGCUCAACUCCAUCCAGCCGUUGAAACUGAUGAUCUUGAGUGGGCGAGAAGUAUGCGGAAUGCGUGGUGUAGCGGUGAAAUGCAUAGAUAUCACGCAGAACUCCGAUUGCGAAGGCAGCAUACCGGCGCCCGACUGACGCUGAAGCACGAAAGCGUGGGUAUCGAACAGGAUUAGAUACCCUGGUAGUCCACGCAGUAAACGAUGAAUACUAAUUGUGUGCUCCGAAUGAGGAGUGCGUGAUACAGCGAAAGCGUUAAGUAUUCCACCUGGGGAGUACGCCGGCAACGGUGAAACUCAAAGGAAUUGACGGGGGCCCGCACAAGCGGAGGAACAUGUGGUUUAAUUCGAUGAUACGCGAGGAACCUUACCCGGGCUCAAACGCAGGAGGGAUGUUUUUGAAAGGAGGCAGCUCUACGGAGUCUCCUGCGAGGUGCUGCAUGGUUGUCGUCAGCUCGUGCCGUGAGGUGUCGGCUUAAGUGCCAUAACGAGCGCAACCCCUACCGCCAGUUGCCAACGGGUAAAGCCGGGAACUCUGGCGGGACUGCCGGCGCAAGCUGUGAGGAAGGCGGGGAUGACGUCAAAUCAGCACGGCCCUUACGUCCGGGGCGACACACGUGUUACAAUGGCAGGUACAGCGGGAAGCCACUUGGCGACAAGGCGCGGAACCCGAAAACCUGUCUCAGUUCGGAUUGGAGUCUGCAACCCGACUCCAUGAAGCUGGAUUCGCUAGUAAUCGCGCAUCAGCCACGGCGCGGUGAAUACGUUCCCGGGCCUUGUACACACCGCCCGUCAAGCCAUGGAAGCCGGGGGUGCCUGAAGUGCGUGACCGCAAGGAGCGCCCUAAGGUAAAACCGGUGACU